rnacentral:lncRNA from 1 species
CUCGAUUGGCUGGAGGGGGCGAGAGGUGGCGGGAGGGGGCGGAGCACAACGAUCUCGGGCGGCGCCGGGGAGGAGAGCUGGCAGGGUCCCGGGACGGCUUGUUUGUUUAUUUGGAAAGUAGAAGCCAGUCUGGUUCACUAGUUCCCACCGCGCCCGGAGAGCCGAGAGUCUCGGGAGAAAGUGUGGGCAACCCCUGGAAACGUGUUAACGACCAGGGCCCUCAGACCUGCCGCCCACCGCGCUGCAGGCACUCGCGAGCCUGCUCCAGCCCUGAUAAAAGCCCGCGGGUGUGGGGCACACAAAUAACAGCGAGGUUUUCAAAAUGAGCCUCCUCUUUCAUCAGGGUGCGUUUUUAGUCCACGAAACGUAGGUUGGCUAAAGAGGGUGGUUCUGGCUGUUUGAUUAAUGCUGACUAUGAAAGCACAAAUUUGGGGGCCUGCAAAGUAUACAGCCAUGUUGAAAAAAAAAAUCGGACUCGAUUCUUACUCAAAAACAGCAGUGUUGAGCUGUGGUGAUCUUUUCCCGUGGGAGAGGCUUUGAAAGGCGCCUUUAAGAGAAUUUCAAAAUAAUAUUGUUUCCCUUUGCUUGAUCAAGAGCGAAAAACUUUAGAAAAAGAAAAGCUCAUACCUAGAACAAAGGAUCAUACUUAACACAUAUCCUAGAAUAUAUUUCACAUUCCUCACGUUAAGAAAGGAAGCUUUUUGCUGAAUCUCAGUGUACAGCUUGACACCACAAAAAUAAGAACUACUGCCUCCUCUGUUUCUGGACAAACUGCUGGAAUGUGGAGUGUAAGUGCAACCUCCUGAAGUGUUUCUCAGUAUCUCUCUAUCCUGCUCUCUUUUACUAGGAUUUCAGCUUCCUGAGGGUGGCAAUGGGUUGAUGUUACAUUAAAAUGUCAAAGGAGUGACCGCAGUUGCAAAGAGGGAUUUUGGAGGGGAGGGUGGGAUGUGGGAAUGGAAUGUCAGUUCACCUUUGUCCUUGGGUAGAUGCUGCAAAUCGUAUUAUUUAUAAAAUCUAACAGUAAACCAGGCAAGGUAUACAUCAUAAAAAAUAACCCCCAACCCUGCCCUCUUAAGAAUUUGUUCUCUGUUAGAAACAGAAUAAACACAUUUGGAUGAAUGGCUCCUUUUUGAUGCUCCGAUUUUGAGAAAAAAGAUUUGGUUUUGGCUAUCUCAAAAAAAAAAACAACCAUUAUCAUUCCUCCGCUGCCACCGGUUUAUAAACACAGUAUAUUCACAGGUGCUAGGAGCAGCCGUGAUUUCUGAAAGAGGCUGGAAGUAGGAGGAGAGUGGAUGCUGACAGAACUCUGACUGGAGCUGCUACCCACGU